UACGUACUGUGCGAACGUUAUUCGGAAUCACUGGGCUUAAAGGGUGCGUAGGCGGCCAAUUAAGUAGGGUGUGAAAGGUUACGGCUCAACCGUGACAUUGCGCUCUAAACUGAUUGGCUCGAGUGAGAUAGGGGUGUGCGGAACUUCCAGUGGAGCGGUGAAAUGUGUUGAUAUUGGGAGGAACGCCGGUGGCGAAAGCGGCACACUGGGUCUUAACUGACGCUGAUGCACGAAAGCCAGGGGAGCGAACGGG
rnacentral:rRNA from 1 species